rnacentral:tRNA from 1 species
GGGGAUUUAGCUUAGGGUUAAGCGCCUGCCUGGCAAGCAUGAGGUCAUGAGUUUGAUCACCGGUACCAAAAAUAAAUAAAUAAAUGGACUUGAAAUGUAGCUCAAUGCAAAGGCCCUGUGUUCAAUCCCCA